CACUACUGUAAACGAUGAUAACUCGCUGCCGGCGACACACUGUCGGUGGCCCAGCGAAAGCGAUAAGUUAUCCACCUGGGGAGUACGACCGCAAGGUUGAAACUCAAAGGAAUUGACGGGGGCCCGCACAAGCGGAGGAACAUGUGGUUUAAUUCGAUGAUACGCGAGGAACCUUACCCGGGCUCGAACGGCAGAUGCCAUAUGCAGAAACGCAUAUUCUCUUCGGAGCGUCUGUCGAGGUGC
rnacentral:rRNA from 1 species